GCCAGGAAGGAGGAGGCAGCCAGAGCGUUCUCUGCAGCAGAAGACCCCCUGCUGCACUGCUUAACCCAGACCAGCAUUUGCCAGGGUGAUAAUCAGCUCUGUAAUGACCUGGGAAGUUUGCUGUACCAAGACUGUAAUUGUGAAGAAAUACAAAUCGAUGCAGGUUUGUCUGUCCUGAAUCUACUGCCAAUCAAUUCCAUUGGAUGACCCCAAGUUCCAGCAUUACACUCUAUGGCUUGGAUCCAAAGAACUAUGAGUAGAAGGAGAAAAUGACAUGGCACUAUUUAAUGGAUGUUUCCGAAAGCAUGGGUAGAAAGCUUCUCACAGUGCUGAGCCUCAUGGAAUUGGGAGUUGCACAGCAGGAUGGGAAACAUGAUGAAUGAGAAGGACACAGGCUGCAGCAGUUGUGGCCCACCUGAGACUCUGCAGCUGUUGUUGGACUACAACUCCCAUCAUCCCCAGUCACAAUAAAUUGUAGGGCAGGGGUCGCCCACAUGAGACUCUGCAGCUGUUGUUGGACUACAACUCCCAUCAUCCCCAGUCACAAUAAAUUGUAGGGCGGGGUCACCCACCUGAGACUCUGCAGCUGUUGUUGGACUACAACUCCCAUCAUCCCCAGUCACAAUAAAUUGUAGGGCAGGGGUCGCCCACAUGAGACUCUGCAGCUGUUGCUGGACUACAACUCCCAUCACUCCCAGCCACAGUCUAUUACAGCUGGGGAUGCUGAGGAGAGCCUCCA